UUGGCAGCAACAUAUCUCCAAAAAGAUGGAACAGGUGCAACAAAAGGCUGGAAAUGUAUUUGGUACAAUUCAGAAACAGCUGGAGGUGCAUUUAAAACUGAUCAGGGUACCAGG